GGCAAUGUGGCGGAGUGGUUAUCGCGCUAGCCUAGAACUCACAAAAAAGUAUAACUUAGCUAGUUCCUUCGGGAGCGUCAGUUCGAAUCUGGCCAUUGUCG
rnacentral:tRNA from 1 species